rnacentral:lncRNA from 1 species
GUCCCUUUAAUUUGCAUCUCAGAUGCAAUGAAGUGCCACUUUGUCACUGAAGCCUCCGAGUCAGGCAGCCUCACCUGCUAGAGGAUGAGGAGGGAGGGAGCCUCCUGUGUGGCCUCUGGGAUGGGAGUGGAAGACGGUUGCAUUGGGGAAGCCCUGGGCAGGUCCUGCAUGAACCACCGUGUGACCCAGCGGUUCCACCCCAGCGUCCACCCAGGAGGGAAACCCACCUCACACACAGACUGACUCCAGAACCUUCCACAGCAGCGUUUCCCCAAUAUCUAAAAAGGAAACAACCCAAAUGCCAGUCAGCUGUGAAUGGACAAGCAACAUGUGGGGGUCCCUGCAGUGAGGCGGGCCCGGGCAGUAAGCAGGAGUAAAGUCCCCACCCACACCACGGCACGAACCAACCUCAGAACCUGACGCUGACCCACCGUCUGAGGUCCCACAGGCACGGGAUGCUCAGCAGGGCAGUUCAGCAGGGCAGCUCCACAGAGCCACGGCCAGCUAGCUGGCGAUGGGAUGGACUUGGCCAGGAGUGAGCCCAGGCAUCUGGCUGGGGAGGGGGCACGACCUUGGCAACGGUGGCUGGGUAAGCCACGGAGCUGUGCAGAGAGGUAGGCGGCCCUUUGUUAUAUAAAACGAACGUCCUGGAGUUGUUUUCUAAAACCUCCCAGGGAGGCCUCUGUCUGAUUAAAAAGGAGCCCUCCUGGCCCUCUGAGCAACACUGAGGAGCUGACCAUUCGGGCUGUGUCCACCCCAGAGCUGGUGGAGUCCGCUGGGGCUGGGGACCCCUAGGAUAGGGCUCCUCUGAUGUGCUUGGUAGCUGUGUCAUCAAACCCCACCUCUGUCUCUUUCGGAUUGCCUUCCCGCCCAAAGGCUGUGCCACUUGUGAGAUGCCCGCUCCCUGGGCCUCAAUUAGUUCAGCUUCCCCACAAGAGGGAGGACACUGGGGGCUGCUCCACGUGAGGCCCAGGCCAUGGGCUGCUGAGGUCCUUCCACCAGCGUCCUACAGCUGGUGUCCUUGGUCCUCUCCAUGUGAGUGGUAAUGAUCCACACUAGCCACAGGGCAAGGGCUGAGUGCGCAGAGACACCGGGGCUCCGUUGCCCACCAGCCUGCAUGUGGGGAGUCGCAGCUCCCCCAGCAGCACCCCCACACCUCUCAAUAUGCUCGUCACUCCCUCCACUGCCC